rnacentral:misc_RNA from 1 species
GCCUUUCCACUGAGUCCAGA